rnacentral:rRNA from 1 species
CCUACGGGUGGCAGCAGGGAGGAAUAGUGGUCAAUGGGCGCGAGCCGGAACCAGCCAAGUAGCGUGAAGGAGGAAUGCCCGAUGGGGUGUAAACUUCUGUUAUAGGGGAAUAAAGUGCAGUAUGUAUACUGCUUUGCAUGUACCUUAUGAAUAAGGAUCGGCUAACUCCGUGCCAGCAGCCGCGGUAAUACGGAGGGUCCGAGCGUUAUCCGGAUUUAUUGGGUUUAAAGGGAGCGUAGGCGGGUUGUUAAGUCAGUUGUGAAAGUUUGCGGCUCAACCGUAAAAUUGCAGUUGAUACUGGCAUCCUUGAGUACAGUAGAGGUAGGCGGAAUUCGUGGUGUAGCGGUGAACUGCUUAGAUAUCACGAAGAACUCCGAUUGCGAAGGCAGCCUGCUGGACUGUAACUGACGCUGAUGCUCGAAAGUGUGGGUAUCAAACAGGAUUAGAUACCCCGGUAGUC